GGGAACUACUUCUUCUUCAUUGUAUGAGAACAACUGCUUAUAUAGCGAAACCCUAUCAGCUCUGAUUAGUUACCACAUUACCUUGGAUUACACAGUGACCACCCAUACUACCAAGCCUCUCUGUGGAAGAAGGACACAAAGGAGACUUGACACCUGCACAAUACUGAAGCUCUUGACUGAAUACCACUUGACCAGAAGGACUGAACACCAUGUAAAUAAAGGACGACAUUGGAAUAUUUUCUGCGCUAUGUUGGUGACAGACAUGUGUGACAUUCAAAG